AUGUUUUGAUUCCAGAGGAUUUGCAACAGCGC
rnacentral:piRNA from 1 species